rnacentral:rRNA from 1 species
AUUGAACGCUGGCGGCAUGCUUUACACAUGCAAGUCGAACGGUAACAGGGUGCUUGCACCGCUGACGAGUGGCGAACGGGUGAGUAAUGCGUCGGAACGUGCCGAGUAGUGGGGGAUAACGCAGCGAAAGUUGAGCUAAUACCGCAUACGUACUGAGGUAGAAAGUGGGGGACCGUCGGGCCUCACGCUAUUCGAGCGGCCGACGUCUGAUUAGCUAGUAGGUGAGGUAAAGGCUCACCUAGGCGACGAUCAGUAGCGGGUCUGAGAGGAUGAUCCGCCACACUGGGACUGAGACACGGCCCAGACUCCUACGGGAGGCAGCAGUGGGGAAUUUUGGACAAUGGGCGAAAGCCUGAUCCAGCCAUGCCGCGUGUCUGAAGAAGGCCUUCGGGUUGUAAAGGACUUUUGUCGGGGAGGAAAUCCCCAGCGUUAAUACCGCUGGGGGAUGACAGUACCUGAAGAAUAAGCACCGGCUAACUACGUGCCAGCCGCCGCAGUAAUAC